UAAAUAAAAACAAUUUAAAACAUAUGAUAACAUGAAAUGCAUCACAUCACAGCUAAUCACAUCAAGGAUGAAUUUGUCACCUAUAGUCCCCUACAUGGACCAACUGUGCCAGGGGCGUAGAAUGGGCCUCACUGGUCUUUCUCUUACAUAACAUAGCAUAACAUGGUCCAACUGUGCCAGGGGCGUAGAAUGGGCCUCACUGGUCUUUCUCUUACCGUAUCAUCAUCAUCAUCAUCAUCAUGUAUAUCAUCAUCAUCAUCAUAACAUAGGGGGACUAAAGGAUCAUCCAACAUUCAUCCACAUCAUCAAACAUAUUAUGCAAAUGCAACAUAUUCGUGAAUCUAAUGCAAACACCCUAUUAUAUCAUGGCAUUCAUGAUGCAUGAAUCAUGCUAAAACUGAUUUCUUUAUUUAAAAUAUAAGGGUUAUUCCACUCACCUUUGCUGAAGCUCUACUGACUCAGAAGCAGCUGAACCUACUGCUGGGGUCCUCGGUUCCUCUGGUCCGAACCUACACAGGCGGACUCAAAUGAGGGACCAAACAUACAUAUACAUAACUCUGAUAUAUCCCCCAAAUAUCCCCUCAAACAUCAUGAAAACUUCACAUAAAGAUAUGCAUGAAAUGGCUGAACAGGGCACUUUCGGCGGC
rnacentral:lncRNA from 1 species